rnacentral:rRNA from 1 species
UACGGGGGGAGCAAGCGUUGUUCGGAUUCAUUGGGCGUAAAGGGUGCGUAGGCGGCGCGGUAAGUCGGAUGUGAAAUCUCGGAGCUUAACUUCGAAACUGCAUUCGAUACUGCCGUGCUUGAGGACUGGAGAGGAGACUGGAAUUUACGGUGUAGCGGUGAAAUGCGUAGAUAUCGUAAGGAAGACCAGUGGCGAAGGCGGGUCUCUGGACAGUUCCUGACGCUGAGGCACGAAGGUCAGGGGAGCAAACGGG